ACCUUAGUACGGCGAGUGAAGCGGUAAAAGCUCAAAUUUGAAAUCUGGUACUUUCAGUGCCCGAGUUGUAAUUUGUAGAAUUUGUCUUUGAUUAGGUCCUUGUCUAUGUUCCUUGGAACAGGACGUCAUAGAGGGUGAGAAUCCCGUUUGGCGAGGAUACCUUUUCUCUGUAAGACUUUUUCGAAGAGUCGAGUUGUUUGGGAAUGCAGCUCAAAGUGGGUGGUAAAUUCCAUCUAAAGCUAAAUAUUGGCGAGAGACCGAUAGCGAACAAGUACAGUGAUGGAAAGAUGAAAAGAACUUUGAAAAGAGAGUGAAAAAGUACGUGAAAUUGUUGAAAGGGAAGGGCAUUUGAUCAGACAUGGUGUUUUUUGCAUGCACUCGCCUCUCGUGGGCUUGGGCCUCUCAAAAAUUUCACUGGGCCAACAUCAAUUCUGGCAGCAGGAUAAAUCAUUAAGAAUGUAGCUACUUCGGUAGUGUUAUAGCUUUUUGGAAUACUGUUAGCCGGGAUUGAGGACUGCGCUUCGGCAAGGAUGUUGGCAUAAUGGUUAAAUGCCGCCCGUCUUGAA
rnacentral:rRNA from 1 species